AGCCAGACUCCUACGGGAGGCAGCAGUGGGGAAUAUUGCACAAUGGGGGAAACCCUGAUGCAGCGACGCCGCGUGAGUGAAGAAGUAUUUCGGUAUGUAAAGCUCUAUCAGCAGGGAAGAAAAUGACGGUACCUGACUAAGAAGCCCCGGCUAACUACGUGCCAGCAGCCGCGGUAAUACGUAGGGGGCAAGCGUUAUCCGGAUUUACUGGGUGUAAAGGGAGCGUAGACGGCAUGGCAAGUCAGAUGUGAAAGCCCGGGGCUCAACCCCGGGACUGCUCUGGAAACUGUACGGCUGGAGUGCAGGAGAGGUAAGUGGAAUUCCUAGUGUAGCGGUGAAAUGCGUAGAUAUUAGGAGGAACACCAGUGGCGAAGGCGGCUUACUGGACUGUAACUGACGUUGAGGCUCGAAAGCGUGGGGAGCAAACAGGAUUAGAUACCCCCGUA
rnacentral:rRNA from 1 species